GGGGGAAUAUUGGGCAAUGGAGGCAACUCUGACCCAGCAACGCCGCGUGAGCGAUGAAGGUCUUCGGAUUGUAAAGCUCUUUAAGCGGGGACGAAGAAAGUGACUGUACCCGCAGAAUAAGCCUCGGCUAACUACGUGCCAGCAGCCGCGGUAAUACGUAGGAGGCAAGCGUUAUCCGGAAUGACUGGGCGUAAAGGGUGCGUAGGUGGUUCGGCAAGUUGGUAGCGUAAUCCCGAGGCUCAACCUCGGUGCUACUACCAAAACUGUUGAACUUGAGUGCAGGAGGGGUGAAUGGAAUUCCCAGUGUAGCGGUGGAAUGCGUAGAUAUUGGGAAGAACACCAGCGGCGAAGGCGAUUCACUGGACUGUAACUGACACUGAGGCACGAAAGCGUGGGGAGCAAACAGGAUUAGAUACC
rnacentral:rRNA from 1 species